CCUACGGGACGCAGCAGUGGGGAAUAUUGCACAAUGGGGGAAACCCUGACCCAGCAACGCCGCGUGAAGGAAGAAGGCUUUCGGGUUGUAAACUUCUUUUCUCAGGGACGAAGAAAGUGACGGUACCUGAGGAAUAAGCCACGGCUAACUACGUGCCAGCAGCCGCGGUAAUACGUAGGUGGCAAGCGUUAUCCGGAUUUACUGGGUGUAAAGGGCGUGUAGGCGGGACUGCAAGUCAGAUGUGAAAACCACGGGCUCAACCUGUGGCCUGCAUUUGAAACUGUAGUUCUUGAGUACUGGAGAGG
rnacentral:rRNA from 1 species